GAUGAACGCUGGCGGCGUGCCUAAUACAUGCAAGUCGAGCGAACAGACGAGGAGCUUGCUCCUCUGACGUUAGCGGCGGACGGGUGAGUAACACGUGGAUAACCUACCUAUAAGACUGGGAUAACUUCGGGAAACCGGAGCUAAUACCGGAUAAUAUAUUGAACCGCAUGGUUCAAUAGUGAAAGACGGUUUUGCUGUCACUUAUAGACGGAUCCGCGCCGCAUUAGCUAGUUGGUAAGGUAACGGCUUACCAAGGCAACGAUGCGUAGCCGACCUGAGAGGGUGAUCGGCCACACUGGAACUGAGGCACGGUCCAGACUCCUACGGGAGGCAGCAGUAGGGAAUCUUCCGCAAUGGGCGAAAGCCUGACGGAGCAACGCCGCGUGAGUGAUGAAGGUCUUCGGAUCGUAAAACUCUGUUAUUAGGGAAGAACAAAUGUGUAAGUAACUAUGCACGUCUUGACGGUACCUAAUCAGAAAGCCACGGCUAACUACGUG
rnacentral:rRNA from 1 species